rnacentral:misc_RNA from 1 species
GGUAAUUUUGAGUAUGAUAGACAGGUUUAUCCUCUUGAUCCUAGUCAGAUUCUCCUUAGAGAUUCAAAGCUAAGGAAUACAACUUUUGUGUAUGGGGUUGUGGUAUUCACUGGUUUUGACAGCAAAGUAAUGCAGAACUCAACAAAGUCCCCUUCAAAGAGGAGCAAAAUAGAAACAAAAAUGGACAAAAUUAUAUAUGUCCUUUUCAGCCUCCUUCUGGUGAUCUCGUUGAUAAGCUCAAUUGGUUUUGCAGUGAAGAUAAAGUUUCAAAUGCCAGACUGGUGGUACAUGCAACCCUCAAAACCUGAAAAUUUAUAUGAUCCUACAAGCCCUGGCAAGUCAGGUUUAGCCCAUCUGAUCACUGCUCUCAUCCUUUAUGGGUAUUUAAUACCCAUCUCUCUCUAUGUUUCAAUUGAGGUUGUGAAAGUUUGUCAAGCAAAAUUCAUUGACGAAGACCUGAACAUGUAUGAUGAAGAAACUGGCAAUACUGCUCAAGCACGGACGUCAAACUUAAAUGAGGAGUUGGGCCAAGUGGACACAAUCCUCUCUGAUAAAACCGGCACCUUGACCUGUAACCAGAUGGAUUUUUUGAAGUGUUCCAUUGCUGGUACUGCAUAUGGUGUACGUUCCAGUGAAGUUGAACUUGCUGCAGCUAAACAGAUGGCCAUGGACCUUGAGGAGCAGGAUGUAGAAAUAUCUAAUUGUUCCAGGGAUAAAAACCGUGCACAUAAUUCAUGGGAGAAUAGCAGUGGAGCAUCAGAAAUUGAACUGGAGACUGUCAUUACUUCUAAAGAUGAAAAGGAUCAGAAAUCAGCAAUAAAGGGGUUUAGUUUUGAGGACAACCGUCUCAUGGAUGGGAAUUGGCUGAAGGAGCCCAAUACGGAUGUCAUUAUAUUAUUCUUCCGGAUAUUAGCAGUUUGUCAGAGUGCUGUUCCUGAGCUGAAUGAAGAGACUGGCAUUUUCACAUAUGAAGCAGAAUCUNNNNNUGCUUUUCUUGUGGCUGCAAGAGAAUUUGGUUUUGAAUUUUGUAAAAGAACUCAGUCAAGUGUGAUUGUCCGUGAAAAAUAUGCUCGCCCAGGACAACUUGUUGAAAGGGAGUUCAAAAUUCUUAAUUUGUUGGAAUUUACUAGCAAAAGGAAGCGAAUGUCUGUAAUUGUGAGGGAUGAGGAUGGACAGAUUCUACUCCUGUGCAAAGGUGCUGACAGUAUCAUUUUUGACCGGCUAUCAAAGAAUGGAAGAAUGUAUGAGGAAGUUACUACUAAGCACUUGAAUGAAUAUGGAGAAGCUGGGUUACGCACAUUGGCGCUUGCUUACAAGAAGCUUAAUGAGUCCGAAUAUGAUGCAUGGAACAAUGAGUUUACGAAAGCCAAAACUUCUAUCAGUGCUGAUCGAGAUGGAAUGCUUGAGCGAGUAGCAGAUAUGAUGGAGAGGGAAUUGAUUCUUGUGGGUGCUACUGCUGUGGAGGACAAAUUACAAAAAGGGGUACCCCAGUGCAUUGAUAAACUCGCACAAGCUGGUCUCAAGAUAUGGGUUUUGACAGGGGAUAAGAUGGAAACUGCAAUCAAUAUAGGAUUUGCUUGUAGUUUGCUUCGACAGGGAAUGAAACAGAUUUGUGUUACAGUGACGAACUCAGAUACGAUAGCCCAAGAUUCCAAACAGGCUGCGAAAGAGAAUAUUUUGAAUCAAAUCACCAAUGCAUCUCGAAUGAUUAAUCUAGAGAAGGAUCCACAUGCUGCAUUUGCAUUAAUUAUUGAUGGGAAAACUCUGACUUUUGCUCUGGAGGAUGAUAUGAAGCAGCAUUUCUUGGAACUAGCAGUUGUUUGUGCAUCUGUCAUAUGUUGUCGGGUCUCUCCCAAGCAGAAGGCACUGGUAACGAGGUUAGUGAAAGAAGGUACUGGAAGAACCACCUUAGCCAUAGGCGAUGGUGCAAAUGAUGUUGGAAUGAUUCAAGAAGCUGAUAUUGGUGUUGGCAUCAGUGGGGUGGAAGGUAUGCAGGCAGUGAUGGCCAGUGAUUUUUCAAUUUCCCAGUUUCGGUUCUUGGAAAGACUUCUGGUAGUGCAUGGACACUGGUGCUAUAAGAGAAUUGCUCAGAUGAUUUGCUAUUUCUUCUACAAAAAUAUAGCAUUUGGUCUCACCCUGUUCUACUUUGAGGCAUUCACGGCCUUUUCUGGGCAAUCAAUUUACGAUGACUGGUACAUGCUAUUGUUUAAUGUCGUUCUUACCUCCCUGCCUGUUAUUUCACUUGGAGUUUUUGAACAAGAUGUUUCUUCUGAGGUCUGCCUACAGUUCCCAGCACUGUAUCAGCAAGGACCCAAAAAUUUGUUCUUUGACUGGUAUAGAAUACUGGGAUGGAUGGGCAAUGGUCUCUAUUCCUCCCUAGUUAUUUUCUUCCUCAAUCUUGUUAUCCUGUUUGACCAACCGUUUCGAGCUGGAGGUCAAACUGCUGAUAUGUCUGCUGUGGGCACAACUAUGUUCUCUUGCAUCAUAUGUGCUGUCAACUGCCAGAUUGCACUUACAAUGAGCCACUUCACAUGGAUUCAACAUCUUUUUGUCUGGGGAAGCAUUGCCGCUUGGUUCUUGUUUCUCCUACUUUAUGGGAUGGUAUCUCCUAUAUAUUCUGGGAAUGCGUACCAUAUCUUAGUUGAAGCUCUUGGACCAGCACCUAUAUAUUGGUGUUCCAUCAUCUUGGUAACAGUUGCAUGUAAUUUGCCUUACCUGGCUCACAUAUCAUUCCAAAGAUGUAUACAUCCAAUGGAUCACCAUAUUAUCCAAGAAAUCAAGUACUAUAGGAAGGAUGUUGAGGAUCAACACAUGUGGAGAAGAGAGCGGUCGAAGGCAAGACAAGAAACCAAGAUUGGUUUCUCAGCAAGGGUGGACGCAAAGAUCAGGCAGUUAAAAGGGAAGUUGCAGAAGAAGCAUUCAACCUUAGUAACACAAAGUUAUGCAUCUUCCCCAUCAUAACCUU